rnacentral:misc_RNA from 1 species
UCCCUUCUCUCAGUAGUGUGAAUUGCAGAAUUCCGUGAAUCAUCAAAUCUUUGAACGCACAUUGCGCCCUUUGGUAUUCCAAAGGGCAUGCCUGUUCGAGCGUCAUUUGUACCCUCAAGCUUUGCUUGGUGUUGGGCGUCUUGUCUCCAGUUCGCUGGAGACUCGCCUUAAAGUAAUUGGCAGCCGGCCUACUGGUUUCGGAGCGCAGCACAAGUCGCGCUCUCUUCCAGCCAAGGUCAGCAUCCACAAAGCCUUUUUUCAACUUUUGACCUCGGAUCAGGUAGGGAUACCCGCUGAACUUAAGC